AAUCAAUGUCAUCUUCCAAUGAUUGAAACAUGAGGAUUGAAUGUUUCAAUAUUCAAAUGUCUUCACACCAUAUUUUGGAAAUAAUAUAUGCUAAAAAUAUCUAAAUAUACAUAAACAUCACAUGGGAUGCCAUCAAAGUUGGAUAAUUUAAUGAUCUAAUACAUACAUCAUGAUGCAGGUGAUAAGAGAUUCAAUUGAAAGCCUCCGGAUGAAAAGACUGCAAGAAUAGAUAAUGAUAUCGAUGUUAAUCUUGGAAAGAUGACAAAGAAACUAAGAACAAGCAACUACUGCACUUGCACUGCCCAAGGAGAUGCCAUACAUUUAUUGGUACUGUGAGAACUGACACAAACUUAUAUGCUAAUUUAUUCCUUAGACACUGAUGUCUGAUAUUAAAAUAAUCUACAUGUGAACAAUUACACACCAUCAACCUUAGAAUGCAUGAGAUUUUGUGCUUGAAGAAAUACCUGCAGCUUAUUGAUGUUGAAGCCUAUUAACUUUGUGCUAUAAAGCCCUUUAUAUUGAGGUUUUUAGCAGGUCUUUCUUGUCAUCUAUAAAUAACAAAUACAACAAACCUCUGGACUGGAUAUUCAUGAAGAAAAGGAUGCUACAAGCUCCCUAAAUCCAGCAACAAACCCCACAGCCAUGCACAUGUGAAAUGAUUAGCUUAUUUAGUCAUCAUCAUUCUUACACAAUGGAGUCGGUCACUGAGAUCCUUCCCUUCUUCUGCAGUCUUUUUAGUAAGAGUAAGCUCUACGAAGUGUAGGUUCAGUGGCAGUGUCUCCAAACUCUGAAGUCAGGCGCUUAAUGGAAUUUUCGUAUGAAAUUGCUAUACGAAAUGUUCAAGACAGACAAAUGUUAAUGGAAUUUUCCGAUCAUAAACUUAAUUCUUCUUCUGCAUUAAGAAAACCGGGAUUGAUUGUUCAAUUAAUGAAUCUCUUCGCAUUUUAUUUUAUCUUGAAAAAAUAAUCCUGCCUCAAAGCUGUCAAGGAAAUUUAGAUAAACUCACCCAAAUGAUAAAUAUCUCAUGAUUAUUAACUAAUUAAUUUCAUUUCCACCAAAUGUCUAGUCCAUCAACUAUCGACUAAGAAAGCAUAUCCAAGACAAGCUCCUCUAAAAUUCGAGAACUUAAGCUCAUAUCCAAGUUAAAUAAAAUAUAACUGAUGCACAGUGACAAUUGUCCUCAUGCAUAAGCAAAUCCAUUCUCACCUAUUGCAACAAAUGAGUAUAAAACUAUAUCACCUCAUUGCAACAUCUUCAAAUAGCGUUGUUUCCACACUUAGACUGGACAGUGCUUUUAAUGAAUUGUCAUUUUUCUUCCCUGCACAGAAGAUACAAAGCAAAACAUUAUUGUGUGAAUAUUAGAGGAAUUAACAAAAAGUAAAGGGGAAAAAAAAGUAAAACACACAUGCACAUGCACAUAGAUCUGCACAGCAAAGGGUUGCAAAUAGAGGCAUUACAAAGACCAUUAACAGAUAAAUCAAAUCAAAUAAAAGUUUUUCUGGUUUAGCUUUGAGUAACUACUAAUUUAGACACUCAAAAGCUAUGUAACAAAAUCUUUUAUGAGCAACAAUAUAUUUUAAAUACAGCAAUAUUCUUCGUAAAGCAAAAUCUAAAAUGCAAUACAGAAGAUGGUCUAUAAUCAAGUGAAGGUUUGAAAUGCAAUCACAAAGCAGAUAAAUGAAUUUUUUUUCCUUCUUUUUCUAUAAAUGGGUCAUCCAUGUGGUGGCGAAAGAAAUAUGUGCCUGGUGUUAUAAAUAUUAUAAAUUGGAGCAAUAUUUGUAGCAGAUCCGAAUGCUCCUACAAAACACCAUCUCCAUCCAACGGCAAACUAAUAUAACAAGAUUACUGUUAUUUAAGUAAUUUCUAAAGUUUGUAUGAUUUUAAUCUUUGAACUAAAAUGGUCAUUAAUAACAUUUAAAAUAGUUUAAAUAGCAAUUGAGAACUGGCUGAUAAUUUCUCAACUUGCAAAUGACAAACUCUAACUACCAAAACAAAUAAUCUUCUUUUACUGAGACAUUUACAUAUUAGAUAGCUUCUCAAUUGAAAGUUUAUCACCCGUGUCUAAGAAUCCUGCACUUUCCUUGCCUGGUAUGGUCCAAAACUGUUGAUUCUGCACAGUCAGAUGGAAGCAGCCUUCAUAACAUACGCAAAGUGUUCCCAGGGAAUCUCAAAAUCCUUGAUGCAGCCACUACUUCAUUGCCUGUUAAAUUUCAUACUCAUGAAAGCCACUCCAACUCCCUACACUGUCCAAUCCUGGAUUCAUGAACCUCUUACAUGCACUCAACUCC
rnacentral:misc_RNA from 1 species